GGUCAAGCUACAAAGGGCGCAUGGUGAAUGCCUUGGCAUCAGGAGCCGAUGAAGGACGCGAUAAGCUGCGAUAAGCUUCGGGUAGACGCACAUAGU
rnacentral:rRNA from 1 species